rnacentral:rRNA from 1 species
UACGUAGGGUGCAAGCGUUGUCCGGAAUUAUUGGGCGUAAAGAGCUCGUAGGCGGUUUGUCGCGUCUGCUGUGAAAACUCGGGGCUUAACUCCGGGCCUGCAGUGGGUACGGGCAGACUAGAGUGCGGUAGGGGAGACUGGAAUUCCUGGUGUAGCGGUGAAAUGCGUAGAUAUCGUAAGGAAGACCAGUGGCGAAGGCGGGUCUCUGGACAGUUCCUGACGCUGAGGCACGAAGGCCAGGGGAGCAAACGGG